rnacentral:lncRNA from 1 species
GACUAUUUAUGAAGACUCGUCCGUCUGCGCUCUGUACUAUCAUGUAAGUGACCUAUCAGUCCGGGCUCCGCAGAACCGGGUCUUCAAAGUGAAGGUUCUAGUGUUCCCCACUGCUGGCGCCACAAGGAAGGCAUGUUCCGAUGUUUGUUGCUGAAAGCUAGUCUGGAGUCUGGAGCCUGGACUCGGCUCUGAGUCUGGCGCACUCGUAGUGCACAGAAAUGGAUCUAUCAACUCUGCAAGGCCGGCCCCAGACCAAUCAGAUGGCGAGAGGGCAGUGUGCCAGCUGCGGCAGUUCAUUUCCAGGAUCCAUGAUUGAUUUAUUAAUUCCAAGAACGAUGGCGUCGUGUAGUACAAGCCCUGAUGCUACGAUGCUGUAGUUGAUCCUCGAAGAAUGAAAUCGGGCUUCGAAGAUCGCGCUGGAUUCCAAGGUUGGGUUGGUAGUCGCAGCAAUCCAGAUCCCGUGACUCCUCCAGGCACUUGCCCAAGUUUCCUUCAGGGGAUCUCAAUGUCAACAACAACUUAUGCUCCCUUCACACAUCAACAUCGACAGCACUGCCAAUCAGGCCUUACCAAUGUACAUCAUCGUUCUCAUCAACGAUGAUUCGAUAAUUGACUGCCAUGUUACACGGGGCGGGUUGAAUGCCAGCACGGGGCUAGGCUGAUGUGUCAAUUUCGUUUCUGCAAAGGAGCAGCAACUCGAUUAGGAUUCGCGUUCUUGUCACGCGCUAGCAACUGCCGAGCAGAUUAAUCAUUACAGAGAGAACCCUUAUUUUAGCGUCGAAUCUGACCCACCACCACACGAGGUCAAAGUGCAAAAUUCGAGACGAGGUGGAACCAUGGCAGAUACCGAAACAACACGGGCAAAUGAGCAUGUCAUAUCUAGCAAGUAGCGUCAAGCUAAGCACCACAGACAGCAAUAAGUGUACGACGGUGUGUACCUCGGGCGCCAAAUAGUUCGCCUUUCCAAAGUUUCCAUCGAUCAGCGAGGUCGAUGCUCAUUUUUGAUCUCCACCCUUCAGUCGCUUCAUGACACUAGUACUACAGUAUGCAAACAUGUCCACCUUUCUUCUCUUCGUUCUAUCAUUCAAUGAUUUGAUUUGACCGAAUUAUCCCCGCAAUUUUAGGGGCCCCUCAGAUGUACUGUACAGGUAUUCGGAGUUGCUGAGUGCAUAGAAUUACAGAUCAACCGGGCCAAUGAAAUCUAUUCAGGAUGUAUGGUCGGAUUAGAGGAUGUGUCAAUCGCAUUGCUCUAAACCCGGUAACAAGCCGUGACUAUUUGCCUUCAGAAGCCAAUUGGCCUUUUCUUCCAUAGGGCUACAUGGCCGACGGAGAGGUUUUCUGAUAAAGACAAACUUGGCAGUGAGAUCAUCGAAUGAUAUGAUGAGCGUGUUGUGACAAGAGGCAGAUCUUUUUUGUCUGCAAAUUUGGCACAUCAAGACACUUCUACUCUCCUGGACUUCCUAUCUGAAAUGAUCUUAUGUAGAUAUGGUUCCGUUUAUGGUAAAACAUGUACGUUAUUCCCCAAUUAUAUUGCAGUUUAAACCACCAAAUUUGAUGCUGUCCUUGUGUGGCCUUUGAGAUCAUGCAAAACCGAAUCUUGAACUGGCUGUUGGUGCUAUGCUCUACGUCCAUCUUGCAGCUAAUGCUACUAUCAACCUGAAGAUGAGCACAAUCUCAAGAACUAGUAGCAUACAGGCUGCCAGCAUUCGACAUAAAAUCGAUCUCAUAGCUGCAGAUCUGCAUUGAUGCAGAAGCCGAG